UACAGAGGAUCCAAGCGUUAUCCGGAUUUAUUGGGUUUAAAGGGUGCGUAGGCGGCCUGUUAAGUCAGGGGUGAAAGACGGUAGCUCAACUAUCGCAGUGCCCUUGAUACUGAUGGGCUUGAAUGGACUAGAGGUAGGCGGAAUGAGACAAGUAGCGGUGAAAUGCAUAGAUAUGUCACAGAACACCGAUUGCGAAGGCAGCUUACUAUGGUUUAAUUGACGCUGAGGCACGAAAGCGUGGGGAUCAAACAGG
rnacentral:rRNA from 1 species